rnacentral:rRNA from 1 species
UACGAAGGGUGCGAGCGUUGUUCGGAAUUAUUGGGCGUAAAGCGCACGUAGGCGGCCUUGUAAGUCUCACUGUGAAAGCCCGGGGCUCAACCCCGGGAGGCCAGGGGAUACUGCAAGGCUGGAGACAAGCAGAGGUUGGUAGAAUUCCGGGUGUAGCGGUGGAAUGCGUAGAGAUCCGGAGGAAUACCAGAGGCGAAGGCGGCCAACUGGGCUUGUUCUGACGCUAAGGUGCGAAAGCGUGGGGAGCGAACAGG